CUGUAGAGUUGCCUCUUUCGCUGUAGAAAAAGUUGUUUUCUGGAGAACAUACAAAAGAAUGUCUUUCGGUAGUUGAAACGAUAUUUGGAUCAGGCCCAAGCAUGGAUGGUGAUUUCAUUGUGAUAAAUUUCUUUGCUCUGAUAUCAGCUUAAUAUAUUACAUGAUUUGUGGUCAAGGAACAAUCAAAUUGCAUGUGGUGUACAAUGUAUUGGAGAUUGGAGUAACCAUUUUGUGUCGAAGAGAAAUUAUCAUGUCCCAAGGAUGAUCGUUGGACUAAGUCUCUAAAUGAUAGUAUCUUAGAAGACACAACACAUCUGCUAUAUGGUAUAAUACAUUGUGAUGGGAUUGGGCAUUUGCUAUGCAUCAAUAGACUUAGAGGGGGUUCUAAGCAUCUUCGCGGCAGAGAGAUCAUGGAUCUUUGGGAUCAGAUUUGCACAAAUCUUUGAACCAGUUACUAUCAAAGAGCUUGAUUACUACACAUAUCCAAUGAUCAACAAUAGACUCAUUGUGCUAUAAAGAUUGUCAGCAAUACAGACUAUAAAAACACAGGCAAAGUAUAUGGGCAAAGUUUCUUGAUGCAAGUUAGAAUCCGGC